rnacentral:rRNA from 1 species
AGAGUUUGAUCCUGGCUCAGAUUGAACGCUGGCGGAAUGCUUUACACAUGCAAGUCGAGCGGCAGCGCGGGGGCAACCCUGGCGGCGAGCGGCGAACGGGUGAGUAAUGUAUCGGAACGUACCCUGUCGUGGGGGAUAACACAGCGAAAGCUGUGCUAAUACCGCAUACGACCUGAGGGUGAAAGCGGGGGAUCGCAAGACCUCGCGCGAUAGGAGCGGCCGAUAUCGGAUUAGCUUGUUGGUGAGGUAAAGGCUCACCAAGGCGACGAUCCGUAGCUGGUCUGAGAGGACGACCAGCCACACUGGAACUGAGACACGGUCCAGACUCCUACGGGAGGCAGCAGUGGGGAAUUUUGGACAAUGGGGGCAACCCUGAUCCAGCCAUUCCGCGUGAGUGAAGAAGGCCUUCGGGUUGUAAAGCUCUUUCAGCAGGAACGAAACGGUGGCUACUAAUACUAGCUACUAAUGACGGUACCUGAAGAAGAAGCACCGGCUAACUACGUGCCAGCAGCCGCGGUAAUACGUAGGGUGCGAGCGUUAAUCGGAAUUACUGGGCGUAAAGCGUGCGCAGGCGGUUAUGUAAGACAGGUGUGAAAUCCCCGGGCUUAACCUGGGAACUGCGCUUGUGACUGCAUAACUCGAGUGUGGCAGAGGGGGGUGGAAUUCCACGUGUAGCAGUGAAAUGCGUAGAGAUGUGGAGGAACACCGAUGGCGAAGGCAGCCCCCUGGGUCAACACUGACGCUCAUGCACGAAAGCGUGGGGAGCAAACAGGAUUAGAUACCCUGGUAGUCC